rnacentral:tRNA from 1 species
GCGAGAGUAGCUCAGUUGGUAGAGCGUCAGCCUUCCAAGCUGAAUGUCGUCACGCUUUGGGCGUGAUCUCUCGUU